rnacentral:rRNA from 1 species
CCUACGGGGGGCAGCAGUGAGGAAUAUUGGUCAAUGGGCGAGAGCCUGAACCAGCCAAGUCGCGUGAGGGAAGAAUGGUCUAUGGCCUGUAAACCUCUUUUGUCAGGGAAGAAUAAGGAUGACGAGUCAUUCGAUGCCAGUACUUGACGAAUAAGCAUCGGCUAACUCCGUGCCAGCAGCCGCGGUAAUACGGGGGAUGCGAGCGUUAUCCGGAUUUAUUGGGUUUAAAGGGCGCGUAGGCGGGACGUCAAGUCAGCGGUAAAAGACUGCAGCUAAACUGUAGCACGCCGUUGAAACUGGCGCCCUGGAGACGAGACGAGGGAGGCGGAACAAGUGAAGUAGCGGUGAAAUGCAUAGAUAUCACUUGGAACCCCGAUAGCGAAGGCAGCUUCCCAGGCUCGUUCUGACGCUGAUGCGCGAGAGCGUGGGUAGCGAACA